rnacentral:rRNA from 1 species
CAGUCGCCACGGUAAGACAGAGGAUGCAAGCGUUAUCCGGAAUGAUUGGGCGUAAAGCGUCUGUAGGUGGCUUUUCAAGUCCGCCGUCAAAUCCCAGGGCUCAACCCUGGACAGGCGGUGGAAACUACCAAGCUGGAGUACGGUAGGGGCAGAGGGAAUUUCCAGUGGAGCGGUGAAAUGCGUUGAGAUCGAAAAGAACACCAACAGCGAAAGCACUCUGCUGGGACGACACUGACACUAAGAGACGAAAGCUAGGGGAGCAAAUGGGAUUAGAUACCCCGGUAGUCCCUGUCUCUUAUAC